rnacentral:tRNA from 1 species
GGGUGCUUGGCUCAGCUGGUUAGAGCGCCACGUUUACACCGUGGAUGUCAGAGGUUCGAAUCCUCUAGCGCCCA